rnacentral:rRNA from 1 species
AACCGCAAAGGGCUCAGUAAACCAGUUUUAAUUUACUAGAGUUUUUACGUUUCGUACGUGGAUACCUGUGGUAAUUCUAGAGCUAAUACAUGCAAUUAAGUCCGGACCAGCAAUGGAAAGGACGCUUUUAUUAGAUCAAAACCAUUCGCCCGACUUGUUUGGGCGUUGUUUUGGUGAAUCUAGAUAACACUUGAGAUCGUACAGUCAUCGUACUGACGACAUCUCUUUCAAACGCCUGACUUAUCAGCUGUCGAUGGUAGACUCUGUGUCUACCAUGGCCCUCACGGGUAACGGGGAAUCAGGGUUCGAUUCCGGAGAGGGAGCCUGAGAAACGGCUACCACAUCCAAGGAAGGCAGCAGGCACGCAAAUUACCCACUCCCGGCACGGGGAGGUAGUGACAAAAAAUAACGAUACGGGACUCUAUUGAGGCCCCGUAAUCGGAAUGAGUACACUUUAAAUCCUUUAACAAGGAUCCAUUGGAGGGCAAGUCUGGUGCCAGCAGCCGCGGUAAUUCCAGCUCCAAUAGCGUAUAUUAAAGUUGUUGCGGUUAAAAAGCUCGUAGUUGGUUCUGCGUGCCGCGCUGUCGGUUCGCCGCCUGUCGGUGUAACUGGCAUGUCGCGGCAUGUCCUGUCGGUGGUGAACGGGGUCCCCGGUGCAACAUUGGCUUUCUAGUCGACGUUUGUGCCGAGUGUGUUCCCGUUUGCCGAUCUCUCCUACUCCGGUGCUCUUAAACGAGUGUCGAGGUAGGCCGACACGUUCACUUUGAACAAAUUAGAGUGCUUAAAGCAGGCUGAAAUAUCUGCCUGAAUAGUGGUGCAUGGAAUGAUAAAAUAGGACCUCGGUUCUAUUUUGUUGGUUUUAGGAAUAUGAGGUAAUGAUCAAUGUGGACUGGCGGGGGCAUUCGUAUUGCGACGUUAGAGGUGAAAUCUGGACUCCA